rnacentral:rRNA from 1 species
UACGAAGGGGGCUAGCGUUGCUCGGAAUCACAGGGCGUAAAGCGCACGUAGGCGGACUCUUAAGUCGGAGGUGAAAUCCCAGAGCUCAACUCUGGAACUGCCUUUGAUACUGGGUAUCUUGAGUAUGGAAGAGGUGAGUGGAAUUCCGAGUGUAGAGGUGAAAUUCGUAGAUAUUCGGAGGAACACCAGUGGCGAAGGCGGCUCACUGGUCCAUUACUGACGCUGAGGUGCGAAAGCGUGGGGAGCAAACAGG